AAUUUGGUACAAUGGGGGAAACCCUGAUCCAGCCAUCCCGCGUGUAUGAUGAUGGCCNNNGGGUANUCAAAUACUUUUGGCAGNGACNAUAAGGUAUCUCCUCAUCCGCGAUACUUCUGACGGUAUCUGCAGAAUAAGCACCGGCUAACUACGUGCAAGCAGCAGCGGUAAUCCGUAGGGUGCAAGCGUUAAUCGGAAUUACUGGGCGUAAAGCGUGUGUAGGCGGUUCAGAAAGAAAGAUGUGAUAUCCCAGGGCUCAACCUUGGAACUGCAUUUUUAACUGCCGAGCUAGAGUAUGUCAGAUGGGGGUAGAAUUCCACGUGUAGCAGUGAAAUGCGUAGAUAUGUGGAGGAAUACCGAUGGCGAAUGCAGCCCCCUGGGAUAAUACUGACGCUCAGACACGAAAGCGUGGGGAGCAAACGG
rnacentral:rRNA from 1 species